AACAGUUAUAUCAGUGAGAUUCAUCUGCAUUUCAGUUUUUUAUAACUAUAACUUUUCUGUAAAUUCUACUGUCUCCUUAGUAAUUCCUCCGAAGUCAUUAGUUUUAACAGGAAGAUUUAUGCAUUGCAAAAAUAACUGUGUUUUUCAAAAUGUCUUUAAAGACUUUUUUUUCAUGAAUAAAUUUAAGAAUUCUGCUUUAGUUUUUUUUCUUGUGUUUUUUUUAAAGUCUGCAAUUCUGAGAACAUCCUGACAGUCUGGCCUAGCAGUCCUGACCUAGAGAGGAAAAGCCAGUAGAAGCUCCAAAGAAUCUGAGCUCCCUUAGAUUCCUAAACCUUAUGUCUGUGACACCUAUAUGAAGAGGUAAUGAUUGGACUCACUGUGUACAGCAGGUAAAGUGAAAUGUCUGCCUCUCGAGAGAUGUUUCUUUAUGACUCCACUUAAUAGAUUCUAUAUGGACUGAAUGUCCCUGUGCACACAUGUGGUAUAUAAAACUUAACUGUACUGAAGAUUAUUUUUAUCAUUAAAAACAUUGUUUACUCUUGUUUAAAAAAAUUUUUUAAGCAAGGUCACACAGAGCAAAUAAUUUAUAUUGUGGGUCAUCAGGAAAUUAGGCUAAAAUAGCUAAUAAUUAUAACUAAUGAUUAAUUAUUCAAUUUAAAAUUGUUAACCCAAAAAUCUAAAUAACAAAAAAUAAUAGUGUAGCAGAUACUGUCAUCCCAUUGACCUCCUCUCAGCACUUCCCACUCAAUACAUGCAACUUUUAACCUGAGGAGUUUUUCUCAACCCCUCCAGGGCAGUCAAGAAGCACCAAGGACCCUGAGAGCAGUCUUCAACCAAUGACACUUGAAAACUGAAGGAUAAAUACAUAUGCCAAGUGUGGUAGGCUGAAGAAUAUCCUCUGAAGAUAUCAGGCCCUGAAACUGGUGAAUUUUGUGUUUUAGAGCCAAAGGGAAACUAGGCAGAGGGGGAUUUCACGCAGAUGGAAGAGGAGGAGACCUUGUGGCCACAGAAGCGGACAGUGCAGUGAUGUAACCACAAGUCAAGGAGAGCCAGCAGCCACCAGAAGCAGGAAGAGGCAAGGAGCAGACUGUCCCGUGGAGCCUCUGGAGGCAGGAUGGCCCUGCUGACUGCAUGAUUCCAAGGAUACUGAUUUCGAACUUUUGGCCUCUAGACCUGUGAGAGAAUAAGUUUUCAUUGUUUUCAGCUACCAAAUUUGUGGCGAUUGUCACAGUGACCACAGAACACUAAUAUACCAAUAUUUAUACCCAUAAGUACACCAAUGUCCUCACUUCUCAAAAGCAGAACAACUCUGAGGCAUCUUCUGUUGUCUCCAGGAGUCUGCAGCAGAGUUGAGCCCUACCUUUAGGGUUACCCACCCAUCAGCCUACUCUGUUAUUGACUUUCUCUUCUCAGUCUCGCUUGCUUAUUCUUCCAUCAGUGGUUCCAGGUCUCUCCUUCAAUACAAACCACAUACUCUCAAAUCCUUCUGUAUGAGUUUCUUGGAGUUGCUAUAACAAAGUACCAUAAACUGUGUGGCUUAUAACAAAAAAAAUUUAUUCUCACAGUUCUGGAGGCCAGAAGUUGGAAAUACAAUAAAGGUGUUGAUUCAGUUGGUUCCUCUUCAGGCCUCUGAGAAGUCUGUUUCAUGCUUCUUUCCUAGCUUUUGGUGAUGGCUGGCAAUUCAUGGCAUUCUCUGGUUUGUAAAUGCGUCUCUCCUAUCUCUGCCUCCAUCUUUACAUAGCAUUCUCCCCUGUCUCUGUGUCUUCAUGUGGCCAUCUUCCCCUCAUGUAAGAACACUAGUUAUAUUGGAUCAAGGACCCAGUUUCAUGACAUUAUCACAACUUGGUAACAUCUGUAAAGAUCCUAUGCCCAAAUAAAGUCACAUUUCUACAUACUGGGGAUAAGAAUUAUAACAUCUUUUGUAAGGCACAUACUUCAACUCAUAACACCUUGACUCAGUGUCAAAUAUGGGGACCCCUAACCUAAGACAAUUAUCACUUAAUAAGCAUUUUUAUUUCCAAAGCAUAAGCAUUUUUAUUUCCCUAAAUAUAAUUAUUUUUCUUCAGUAAUCUUAUGAUAUUGUGUCUAUUUCAAAGUUAAUAAAUCUGAGGAUUAGAUAUUAUGGUGUAGUCAAGUCUGUGUUUUACCAGGCAGGAAAUGUAAUAAGAUGCCAGUUCUACCAGUGGGAGUGGUUUUCAGCAAAAGAGAUCAAAUACCUUAAGCUUUUUCUUUUUUCCCCCCCUCAUCUGCAAUAUUAUAGAUCAGGAAACAAAGAGGGAUUUUCCUAGGGUUGUGAUAAUCUUUUCUAUUUGAGAUUUUGUUGAUAAAUUUAAUGUCUAAGACCUGAUGUUUCCUCUUUCUUUACUUGAAUUGUCUGUUCAGAGCCACUCUUGUUUAUUCAUUGCUUUCCAGAAUCUUUGGGGAAGGGGGAGUAGACUCCACACACAAAGUCAUGUCCAGUUUCUGAUAAUCCCUUUGGCAGCAAUAGUUGCUCACUCUCUGUACCAGCCUCUGCUAGGAGCUCUCUGUGAAAGAGUGUUCUACAAAACAAGGACACAUUGUCUCUGCCUCUAUUCUAAAGCUGCUGGUAAGUACCCUGCACAGGGAAGAGACCAUAAGAUGAAACUAACAUCUUAGAUACCUUGUAUAUCACAAUGUGCCCCGGCUUAUUCUAAUAUUCUCUACUUCAUCUUUCACCAAAGGCCAAGUCCUUUCUCUGAUUACAAGUUUGGAAAUACUUCCACUUACGGGCUUAUCCACAUAUAGUCCCAAAACCUGCUUAGGUGGCAUUUAUGCUUCUGAUUGCUUCCCUUCCUUUUAUAAGCUGAUACUGCUGAUUAUUAUUUUUUUAAUUAUUUAUUUGGCUGUACCCAGAGUUGUGGGCUUCCCAGGUGGCACUACUGGUAAAGAAUCUGCCUGCCAGUGCCUGAGACUCAAGAGACCUGCAUUCUAUUCCUGGGUCAGGAAGAUCCCCUGGAGAAGGAAAUGGCAACCCACUCUAGUAUUCUUGCCUAGAAAAUUCCAUGGACAGAAGAUCCUGGUGGGCUACAGUCCAUGGUGUCGUGAAGAGUCGGACACGACUGAGCACACACACACAUUCUACAUACCCCGUCUUAGUUGCAGCAGGUGGCAGCUUCUAUCUUCGUUUGCAGCUUGUGGGAUCUUUAGUUGAUUAGUUGCGGCAUUCGAACUCUUAGUUGUGACAUAUUGGGAUCUAGUUCCCUGACCAGGGAUCAAACUCAGGCCCCCUACAUUGAAAGCAUGGAGUCUUAGCCGCUGAAGCACCAGGGAAGUCUGUGUUGCUAAUAAUUAAAAUCCUCUCAGGUGAAUAAAU
ensembl:lncRNA